rnacentral:rRNA from 1 species
UGGGGAAUAUUGGACAAUGGGGGAAACCCUGAUCCAGCCAUGCCGCGUGAGUGAUGAAGGCCUUCGGGUUGUAAAGCUCUUUCGACGGGGACGAUGAUGACGGUACCCGUAGAAGAAGCCCCGGCUAACUUCGUGCCAGCAGCCGCGGUAAUACGAAGGGGGCUAGCGUUGUCCGGAAUUACUGGGCGUAAAGCGCGCGUAGGCGGUUACGCAAGUCGGGCGUGAAAGCCCGGGGCUCAACCCCGGAACUGCGUCCGAGACUGCGUGACUUGAGACCGGAAGAGGAGAGCGGAAUUCCCAGUGUAGAGGUGAAAUUCGUAGAUAUUGGGAAGAACACCAGUGGCGAAGGCGGCUCUCUGGUCCGGUUCUGACGCUGAGGCGCGAAAGCGUGGGGAGCAAACAGG